GGGUUGUGAGGUUAAGCGACUAAGCGUACACGGUGGAUGCCCUGGCAGUCAGAGGCGAUGAAGGACGUGCUAAUCUGCGAUAAGCGUCGGUAAGGUGAUAUGAACCGUUAUAACCGGCGAUUUCCGAAUGGGGAAACCCAGUGUGUUUCGACACACUAUCAUUAACUGAAUCCAUAGGUUAAUGAGGCGAACCGGGGGAACUGAAACAUCUAAGUACCCCGAGGAAAAGAAAUCAACCGAGAUUCCCCCAGUAGCGGCGAGCGAACGGGGAGCAGCCCAGAGCCUGAAUCAGUGUGUGUGUUAGUGGAAGCGUCUGGAAAGGCGCGCGAUACAGGGUGACAGCCCCGUACACAAAAAUGCACAUGCUGUGAGCUCGAUGAGUAGGGCGGGACACGUGGUAUCCUGUCUGAAUAUGGGGGGACCAUCCUCCAAGGCUAAAUACUCCUGACUGACCGAUAGUGAACCAGUACCGUGAGGGAAAGGCGAAAAGAACCCCGGCGAGGGGAGUGAAAAAGAACCUGAAACCGUGUACGUACAAGCAGUGGGAGCACGCUUAGGCGUGUGACUGCGUACCUUUUGUAUAAUGGGUCAGCGACUUAUAUUCUGUAGCAAGGUUAACCGAAUAGGGGAGCCGAAGGGAAACCGAGUCUUAACUGGGCGUUAAGUUGCAGGGUAUAGACCCGAAACCCGGUGAUCUAGCCAUGGGCAGGUUGAAGGUUGGGUAACACUAACUGGAGGACCGAACCGACUAAUGUUGAAAAAUUAGCGGAUGACUUGUGGCUGGGGGUGAAAGGCCAAUCAAACCGGGAGAUAGCUGGUUCUCCCCGAAAGCUAUUUAGGUAGCGCCUCGUGAAUUCAUCUCCGGGGGUAGAGCACUGUUUCGGCAAGGGGGUCAUCCCGACUUACCAACCCGAUGCAAACUGCGAAUACCGGAGAAUGUUAUCACGGGAGACACACGGCGGGUGCUAACGUCCGUCGUGAAGAGGGAAACAACCCAGACCGCCAGCUAAGGUCCCAAAGUCAUGGUUAAGUGGGAAACGAUGUGGGAAGGCCCAGACAGCCAGGAUGUUGGCUUAGAAGCAGCCAUCAUUUAAAGAAAGCGUAAUAGCUCACUGGUCGAGUCGGCCUGCGCGGAAGAUGUAACGGGGCUAAACCAUGCACCGAAGCUGCGGCAGCGACGCUGAUGCGUUGUUGGGUAGGGGAGCGUUCUGUAAGCCUGCGAAGGUGUGCUGUGAGGCAUGCUGGAGGUAUCAGAAGUGCGAAUGCUGACAUAAGUAACGAUAAAGC
rnacentral:rRNA from 1 species